GACGAACGCUGGCGGCGUGCUUAACACAUGCAAGUCGAACGGAAAGGCCCUGCUUUUGUGGGGUGCUCGAGUGGCGAACGGGUGAGUAACACGUGAGUAACCUGCCCUUGACUUUGGGAUAACUUCAGGAAACUGGGGCUACUACCGGAUAGGAGCUCCUGCUGCAUGGUGGGGGUUGGAAAGUUUCGGCGGUUGGGGAUGGACUCGCGGCUUAUCAGCUUGUUGGUGGGGUAGUGGCUUACCAAGGCUUUGACGGGUAGCCGGCCUGAGAGGGUGACCGGCCACAUUGGGACUGAGAUACGGCCCAGACUCCUACGGGAGGCAGCAGUGAGGAAUAUUGCACAGUGGGCGGAAGCCUGAUGCAGCAACGCCGCGUGCGGGAUGGCGGCCUUCGGUUUGUAGACCGCUUUCGCCUGUGACGAAGCGUGAGUGACGGUAAUGGGUAAAGAAGCACCGGCUAACUACGUG
rnacentral:rRNA from 1 species